GACUAUUGUUUUGCUACUUCACUAGUGUAUAUUAUUGAGAUUUGACUAUACUUGCUAGAGCACAGAAAGUUAAAGGCUUUAUUUUAUAGCAAUAAUUCUCUUUUAAGGUGAAGACAUCAGAAAUUAUACUUCCUGUCCAGAGAUUCUAAGGAGAAAAUGUAAAUUAAACCUGACCUUUGAGUUAGCAAAUGAUUGAUAACUCUCUGUCCUAUAAAAAAAAGAAGGGGUGGCCGGGCACAGUGGCUCACGCCUGUAAUCCCAGCACUUUGGGCGGCCGAGGCGGGCAGAUCACCUGAGGUCAGGAGUUCGAGACCAGCCUGGCCAACGUGGUGAAACCCUGUCUCUACUAAAAAUACAAAAAUUAGCUGAGUGUGGUGGCACAUGCCUACAAUCCCAGCUACUUGGGUGGCUGAGGUAGGAGAAUUGCUUGAACCUGGGAGGCGGAGGUUGCAGUGACCCAAGAUGGUGCCAUUGCACUUCAGCCCAGGCAACAAGAGUGAAACUGUCUCAAAAAAAAAAAAACAGAAGGGGCAGGGCACAGCCUACUCCUUUCUCUCUAACUUCUGAAUCUUACCAUGUUUUGCUUUGUUUUUGAGGAGGGGUAUGUAUGGAAAUUUAGGGUCUUUGUUAAGCUGGUUAGGAGGUUUGAGUUAGAGGGGAGAGAAAGGAGUUCAAGAAUGAUUGCUACUUUAUGCAGAACAAAAAAAAUACAUUUAAAUAACUCAUUUCUCUGAUCCCACUUACUAAGCAC
rnacentral:lncRNA from 1 species